UCGCGGUGAAUAAUAGGCACAACAGCCUCCUCGUGUAGGUAGUGCAUGCCCCUGGCGAUUUGAACAGCCCAGUUGACAAGAAUGUGUGGGGGUAUCCUCCGACCAGUCAAAGCCCGGUGAUCUCCUGUCCACUUCCUCCAACUCGGAGUACCAGGACGAGCUGGCGGGCCCACACACAGACUGCCCCUUCCAGAUCCGCAUCAUCCCUGCACACAGGCUCCAGCCUCGGAGAACGCACCCCGAAAUCUUUCAGGAGGAGGACUCGAUCGGUGAGUCGUCAGAGACCUCCACACAGGAAAAGCCCUCUCCUAAGCUGUACUACAAGCUUAAGCUUUUUCCUGGGAAGUGGGUGAACAUCUUGUAUGACCGGCUGACCUUGUUGGCGCUAUUGGACAGUUAAGAGAAAAGGCCCCUAUUCUAUCUUUCCUUUUCCGUCUCUCAGCGAUUGAUCAACUUGUUGACGGAGACUUUUUGCCUUUAGGAACCAAGAUGUGGUGGAGAACAUAGUGGCUGUGUUCUUGGCCUUCCUGGUGGCCUUCCUGGGGUUUAUCCUGCUCAACCACGGUUGCUUCAAAGACAUCUGGGUUUUCCAGUUCUGCGUGGUCAUCGCUAGCUGCCACUACUCGUUGUUAAAGUUACGGAAGCACCACCCUUGGCUCUGGAUCUCUCACCCAGUACUAAAGAGCAAUGAGUACUCCCAGUAUGAGCCCAGAGACAAUGCUCAGUUGAUGUGGUUUGAGCGUCUGUACGUUGGCCUGCUGUGUUUUGAGAAAUACGUUGUUUACCCAGCCAUCAUUCUGAGUGCGCUCACCAAUGAUGGCUUCUCACUCAGUCACCGCAAGAA